UAUUACGAGGGGCGCUGCAGCAGAAGUUUCUGUCAGGCUCGUAAUGGCACGCUGUAACGCUACAGCCUCGUUCAAACGGCGCCCAUUCGCG
rnacentral:ncRNA from 2 species